rnacentral:rRNA from 1 species
CCUACGGGAGGCAGCAGUGAGGAAUAUUGGUCAAUGGCCGGAAGGCUGAACCAGCCAUGCCGCGUGAAGGUCAGUGCCCUAUGGGCGUUAAACUUCUUUUGUGCGGGAGCAAUAAUGGUCACGUGUGGCCAGACGAGAGUACCGUACGACUCAGCAUCGGCUAACUCUGUGCCCGCAGCCGCGGUAAUACGGGGGAUGCAAGCGUUAUCCGGAUUUAUUGGGUUUAAAGGGUGCGUAGGCUGUGAGGUAAGUCAGCGGUGAAAUGCCCCCGCUCAACGGGGUGAAGUGCCAUUGAUACUGCCUUGCUGGAGUGCGGAAGCCGUGGGAGGAAUUGGUGGUGUAGCGGUGAAAUGCAUAGAGAUCACGCAGAACACCGAUUGCGAAGGCAGCUCACGAAUCCGCGAUUGACGCUGAUGCACGAAAGCGUGGGUAUCAAACAGGAUUAGAUACCCCGGUAGUC